UCCCUGGUGGCUCAGAUGGUAAAGCAUCUGUUUGCAAUACGGGAGACACAGGUUCAAUCCCUGGGUCGGGAA
rnacentral:tRNA from 1 species